GCCUUCGUGGUGUAGUGGCCAGCACAAUCGGAUCGUAUUCGACAGGCCCGUGGUUCGAGUCCCGGCAAGGACA
rnacentral:tRNA from 1 species